CUUGGUCAUUUAGAGGAAGUAAAAGUCGUAACAAGGUUUCCGUAGGUGAACCUGCGGAAGGAUCAUUAUUGAGUUUUGAAUGGGUUGUCUGCUGGCUCGCAAGGGCAUGUGCACGCCUGUCUCAUCCACUCUCAACUUCUGUGCACUUUUCAUAGGCCGGCUUGUGGGUGCGUUCGCGCACUUGUAGGUGUCGGGCUUAUGCUUUACUACAAACGAUUCAGUUUUAGAAUGUCAUACUUUGCUAUAACGCAAUUAUAUACAACUUUCAGCAACGGAUCUCUUGGCUCUCGCAUCGAUGAAGAACGCAGCGAAAUGCGAUAAGUAAUGUGAAUUGCAGAAUUCAGUGAAUCAUCGAAUCUUUGAACGCACCUUGCGCUCCUUGGUAUUCCGAGGAGCAUGCCUGUUUGAGUCUCAUGGAAUUCUCAACCUUCAGCUUUAUUGAUGAAGGCUUGGACUUGGAGGUCGUGCCGGCUCUCGUAGUCGGCUCCUCUGAAAUGCAUUAGUGCGAACGUUACCAGCCGCUUCAGCGUGAUAAUUAUCUGCGUUGCUGUGGAGGGUAUUCUAGUGUUCACGCUUCUAACCGUCUUCGGACAAAUUUCUGAACUCUGAGCUCAAAUCAGGUAGGACUACCCGCUGAACUUAAGCAUAUCAAUAAGCGGAGGA
rnacentral:rRNA from 1 species